GGGGCCAUAGCUCAGCUGGGAGAGCACUUGCAUGGCAUGCAAGAGGUCCGCGGUUCGAUCCCUCGUGGCUCCGCCA
rnacentral:tRNA from 1 species